UUUUUUUUCUUUUACAGUAGGAAGGAUUGCUCCCAUGGCCUCACACAUGCUAGACAUAAUUAUACCAACUACAGAAGAAUAUCCUGGCCCUUUUGUAAAUUUUAUUUUGAGACAGGGUCUGGUUAAGGGAUCCAGGGUGUCCUAGAAGUUUUAAUUUUUCUGCCACAUUUGUUAAAUAUUAUGAGAUUACCAGUAUGCUCCAGCACAUCCAGCUAUUUUUCUUCCUUCUAUUUAUAGUUGUUUUGUACUUGCAGUCAUGAAAAGGUGUUGUUGCCAGAUGGAUGCAACAAAAGGGUUUUUAAUUAGGAACAGAUACUGGAGGAGACACUCAGUAGACAGAGCAAGGGGAGUUACUGAAGUGAGAGUACACUGCUUUAGAAAGGGCCAGUGGGCUCAUCCAUGAGAAUGGGCGGCCCUGAGGCAAAGAAGGAGCUGGGAAGUUGGCUGUGAGAAAUAAAACACACCAGAUCUGGGAUGCUAAAGUUAGUGAUGGGAUAUGGAAUAUUGCUCCAUAAGAGCAAAGAAUGUUGAUA
rnacentral:lncRNA from 1 species